rnacentral:rRNA from 1 species
CCACCCCAGUUCAUGCGGGGCUACCCGCUUAAUUUACAUAUCAAUAA